UACGAAGGGGGCGAGCGUUGUUCGGAUUUACUGGGCGUAAAGGGCUCGUAGGCGGCCAACUAAGUCAGACGUGAAAUCCCUCGGCUUAACCGGGGAACUGCGUCUGAUACUGGAUGGCUUGAGGUUGGGAGAGGGAUGCGGAAUUCCAGGUGUAGCGGUGAAAUGCGUAGAUAUCUGGAGGAACACCGGUGGCGAAGGCGGCAUCCUGGACCAAUUCUGACGCUGAGGAGCGAAAGCCAGGGGAGCAAACGGG
rnacentral:rRNA from 1 species